rnacentral:rRNA from 1 species
CACGUAGGGGGCAAGCGUUGUCCGGAUUUAUUGGGCGUAAAGAGCUCGUAGGUGGUUCGGUAAGUCGGGUGUGAAACCUCCAGGCUCAACCUGGAGACGCCACUUGAUACUGCUGUGACUGGAGUCCGGUAGGGGAGCGUGGAAUUCCUGGUGUAGCGGUGAAAUGCGCAGAUAUCAGGAGGAACACCAGCGGCGAAGGCGGCGCUCUGGGCCGGUACUGACACUGAGGAGCGAAAGCGUGGGUAGCAAACAGG